rnacentral:rRNA from 1 species
AGAGUUUGAUCAUGGCUCAGAGCGAACGCUGGCGGCAGGCUUAACACAUGCAAGCCGAGCGCCCCGCAAGGGGAGCGGCAGACGGGAUAGUAACACGUGGGAACGUACCUUUCAGUUCGGAACAACCAAGGGAAACUUUGGCUAAUACCGGAUACGCCCGUAAGGGGAAAGAUUUAUCGCUGAAAGAUCGGCCCGCGUCUGAUUAGCUAGUUGGUGGGGUAAUGGCCCACCAAGGCGACGAUCAGUAGCUGGUCUGAGAGGAUGAUCAGCAUCACUGGGACUGAGACACGGCCCAGACUCCUACGGGAGGCAGCAGUGGGGAAUAUUGGACAAUGGGCGCAAGCCUGAUCCAGCCAUGCCGCGUGGAUGAUGAAGGCCUUAGGGUUGUAAAGUCCUUUUAACGGGGAAGAUAAUGACGGUACCCGUAGAAUAAGCCCCGGCUAACUUCGUG